rnacentral:tRNA from 1 species
GGCGCUCUGGCCGAGUGGUUAAGGCGGCAGGCGAGUUUUCAGCUCGAUCCAAGCGAUAUCCAUGGACUAAUAAGUAUCAGACUCGAAUGGCUCGAUGUCAUCUGCUCUCUUCGGAGGCGUAGGUUCAAAUCCUGCGGGCGUCG